rnacentral:rRNA from 1 species
CGCCCGCUCAGAAACUACAAAUGAAUUGACGGGGGCCCGGCACAAGCGGUGGAGCAUGUGGUUUAAUUCGAUGAUACGCGAGGAACCGUUACCUGGGCUCAAAUGUAUGUUGACGUAUUCUGAAAGGGAUACUUCUUCGGACAAUAUACAAGGUGCUGCAUGGUUGUCGUCAGCUCGUGCCGUGAGGUGUCGGGUUAAGUCCCAUAACGAGCGCAACCCCUAUCAUUAGUUGCCAUCAGGUCAAGCUGGGGACUCUAAUGAAACUGCCUACGCAAGUAGUGAGGAAGGUGGGGAUGACGUCAAAUCAGCACGGCCCUUACGUCCAGGGCUACACACGUGCUACAAUGGCCGGUACAAAGGGCAGCUACCUGGUGACAGGAUGCUAAUCUCAAAAGCCGGUCUCAGUUCGGAUCGGAGUCUGCAACCCGACUCCGUGAAGUCGGAAUCGCUAGUAAUCGCAGAUCAGCAUUGCUGCGGUGAAUACGUUCCCGGGCCUU